rnacentral:tRNA from 1 species
GGGUGUAGCUCAGUGGUAGAGUACUUAUCUACCAUGCAUGAGGCCUGGGUUCAAUCCCCAGCAGUGCA